UACGUAGGGUGCGAGCGUUGUCCGGAAUUAUUGGGCGUAAAGAGCUCGUAGGCGGUCUGUCGCGUCUGCUGUGAAAUCCCGAGGCUCAACCUCGGGCUUGCAGUGGGUACGGGCAGGCUAGAGUGCGGUAGGGGAGAAUGGAACUCCUGGUGUAGCGGUGGAAUGCGCAGAUAUCAGGAAGAACACCGAUGGCGAAGGCAGUUCUCUGGGCCGUAACUGACGCUGAGGAGCGAAAGCGUGGGGAGCGAACGGG
rnacentral:rRNA from 1 species